rnacentral:rRNA from 1 species
AUUGAACGCUGGCGGCAGGCUUAACACAUGCAAGUCGAGCGGAGAGAGGUAGCUUGCUACUGAUCUUAGCGGCGGACGGGUGAGUAAUGCUUAGGAAUCUGCCUAUUAGUGGGGGACAACAUUUCGAAAGGAAUGCUAAUACCGCAUACGUCCUACGGGAGAAAGCAGGGGAUCUUCGGACCUUGUGCUCAUAGAUGAGCCUAAGUCGGAUUAGCUAGUUGGUGGGGUAAAGGCCUACCAAGGCGACGAUCUGUAGCGGGUCUGAGAGGAUGAUCCGCCACACUGGGACUGAGACACGGCCCAGACUCCUACGGGAGGCAGCAGUGGGGAAUAUUGGACAAUGGGCGCAAGCCUGAUCCAGCCAUGCCGCGUGUGUGAAGAAGGCCUUAUGGUUGUAAAGCACUUUAAGCGAGGAGGAGGCUACUUUAGUUAAUACCUAGAGAUAGUGGACGUUACUCGCAGAAUAAGCACCGGCUAACUCUGUGCCAGCAGCCGCCGUAAAAC